AUUGAACGCUGGCGGCAGGCCUAACACAUGCAAGUCGAGCGGAUGAGAGAAGCUUGCUUCUCGAUUCAGCGGCGGACGGGUGAGUAAUGCCUAGGAAUCUGCCUGGUAGUGGGGGACAACGUUUCGAAAGGAACGCUAAUACCGCAUACGUCCUACGGGAGAAAGCAGGGGACCUUCGGGCCUUGCGCUAUCAGAUGAGCCUAGGUCGGAUUAGCUAGUUGGUGAGGUAAUGGCUCACCAAGGCGACGAUCCGUAACUGGUCUGAGAGGAUGAUCAGUCACACUGGAACUGAGACACGGUCCAUACUCCUACGGGAGGCAGCAGUGGGGAAUAUUUGACAAUGGGCGAAAGCCUGAUCCAGCCAUGCCGCGUGUGUGAAGAAGGUCUUCGGAUUGUAAAGCACUUUAAGCUGGGAGGAAGGGUUGUAGAUUAAUACUCUGCAAUUUUGACGUUACCGACAGAAUAAGCACCGGCUAACUCUGUGCCAGCAGCCGCGGUAAUAC
rnacentral:rRNA from 1 species